rnacentral:lncRNA from 1 species
AUAAAAUGAUAGAGAGGAAAAGUCAUGGUAAAACAGCCUAUGGUAUUUCAUGGAAACAAUUUUUUGUUAAUUGCUAAUUAGUUAAUGAUAGCAGGACGUAAUGGAGUAGGUGACACAAAAGAUUAGGAAAUAAACAUUUGAUUAGUAUAUGUAUUUAUAUUGAAUUACCAGCCAACUAAGGGUUUGUUUUCUAUUGAUUUUUGCAUUUAAACCCACCUCACAGAUGCAGCAUGACUAAGUGAAACUAGAUGAAUGGCUUAUGAAAUGAUCAGCAUCACUACUACAUAACCAAUGAAAAAUUUAAGAACUCCAAACCAAAUCGGAUACUGUCUCCAGACCUGUGAGCAGGUACACAGCAAUACAGCGUAUCUGGAGGAAUAUGAACAUAAAACAUUGUUCUCAAGAUGCCUAUAGACUCCAGCUACAUCGGCAGCUGUGCUUGAGGGACCAGAGGUAAUUGAAUUUUCAGUAAAGGGUACAUACCAGCGUUUGGCCUGUCUUGAUUUAGCUAGAGUUAAUCAGAUAUUUCCAGAAUCAGUGACAGACAUAAUUUAGUGUCCUUGAAACUGCUUUAGCAGAAACUGAAUAGAACACCUAACUGAACAGACGAGGAAAAGUCUUGUCAGGAGAUACAUUCCUUCUUGAAAAUAACUCAAGACAGAAGACCCUUGAGACAUUUGCCCAGUCCUCAGCUCCCUCGUCCUACCUCCGUGCUGCAGUGGAGAAGUCGCUCAGCUCCCUGCUCCGUGUCAGCUGUCACUCUUCCCAAUUCACCUCUAAAGCCAAAAGUUUUAUUAAAGUGUUUUUUGUCUGUUUGUUUGUUUUCUAUAGGGGGCGUGCAGACAGGGUUGGAGACUUGAUCUUACACUCCAAUAAAUCAGUUGAAGUUUACUGCUUUCCAUGGAGAAAUUAUGGCCAGUCUUCAUCAAGACCUCCUAUAUGGUCAGCCAGUAGAUGUUCUAAAAAUACUACUUGCAAAUAAUAUCUUCUGUUAUUCCAAAAUAGCCCAUUGGGUCUUGAUUCAGCACUACAUUAAAACACAUCCUUAGCUUAGCUUGAUGUCACUGAGAAACUUUUCAGAACUUAUGUUUCAAUAGAAACUGUGAAUACACUGUGUGUAUACGUAACAAAACUAGUAGGGAAAAUUAAUACAGUGUAGGAGGACUGGAAGAAAAGCAAUUCUUAUUUGCCUGUUUUUAAGAAAAGUUUCAAAAGCUUUGCUUCAAAGCAAAGUAUUAAUAUUUUUCAUAAAAUAUUUAUAAAUGUUUUAUACCAUUUUAAUAAAAUAAGCAUAUUUUUACA